rnacentral:rRNA from 1 species
GGGUUGUGAGGUUAAGCGACUAAGCGUACACGGUGGAUGCCCUGGCAGUCAGAGGCGAUGAAGGACGUGCUAAUCUGCGAUAAGCGUCGGUAAGGUGAUAUGAACCGUUAUAACCGGCGAUUUCCGAAUGGGGAAACCCAGUGUGAUUCGUCACACUAUCAUUAACUGAAUCCAUAGGUUAAUGAGGCGAACCGGGGGAACUGAAACAUCUAAGUACCCCGAGGAAAAGAAAUCAACCGAGAUUCCCCCAGUAGCGGCGAGCGAACGGGGAGCAGCCCAGAGCCUGAAUCAGUGUGUGUGUUAGUGGAAGCGUCUGGAAAGGCGCGCGAUACAGGGUGACAGCCCCGUACACAAAAAUGCACAUGCUGUGAGCUCGAUGAGUAGGGCGGGACACGUGGUAUCCUGUCUGAAUAUGGGGGGACCAUCCUCCAAGGCUAAAUACUCCUGACUGACCGAUAGUGAACCAGUACCGUGAGGGAAAGGCGAAAAGAACCCCGGCGAGGGGAGUGAAAAAGAACCUGAAACCGUGUACGUACAAGCAGUGGGAGCACAGAGCAAUCUGUGUGACUGCGUACCUUUUGUAUAAUGGGUCAGCGACU